UAGUUAAAAUGGUAGAGCAGCGGCUUGCAGAGCCGAUGUCUGUGCGUUCGGAUCUCACA
rnacentral:tRNA from 1 species